rnacentral:rRNA from 1 species
GUGGGGAAUAUUGCACAAUGGGCGAAAGCCUGAUGCAGCAACGCCGCGUGAGGGAUGAAGGCCUUCGGGUCGUAAACCUCUGUCCUUGGGGAAGAAACAAAUGACGGUACCCAUGGAGGAAGCCCCGGCUAACUACGUGCCAGCAGCCGCGGUAAUACGUAGGGGGCGAGCGUUAUCCGGAAUUAUUGGGCGUAAAGAGUGCGUAGGUGGUUACCUAAGCGCAGGGUCUAAGGCAAUGGCUCAACCAUUGUUCGCCCUGCGAACUGGGCUACUUGAGUGCAGGAGAGGAAAGCGGAAUUCCUAGUGUAGCGGUGAAAUGCGUAGAUAUUAGGAGGAACACCAGUGGCGAAGGCGGCUUUCUGGACUGUUACUGACACUGAGGCACGAAAGCGUGGGGAGCAAACAGGAUUAGAAACCCGAGUAGUCC